rnacentral:rRNA from 1 species
CCUUCCUACGGGACGCAGCAGUGGGGAAUAUUGCACAAUGGGGGAAACCCUGAUGCAGCGACGCCGCGUGAGCGAAGAAGUAUUUCGGUAUGUAAAGCUCUAUCAGCAGGGAAGAAAAAUGACGGUACCUGAGUAAGAAGCACCGGCUAAAUACGUGCCAGCAGCCGCGGUAAUACGUAGGGGGCAAGCGUUAUCCGGAUUUACUGGGUGUAAAGGGGGCGCAGACGGCGAUGCAAGCCAGGAGUGAAAGCCCGGGGCCCAACCCCGGGACUGCUCUUGGAACUGCGUGGCUGGAGUGCAGGAGG